rnacentral:rRNA from 1 species
GACGAACGCUGGCGGCGUGCUUAACACAUGCAAGUCGAACGGAAAGGCCCUGCUUUUGUGGGGUGCUCGAGUGGCGAACGGGUGAGUAACACGUGAGUAACCUGCCCUUGACUUUGGGAUAACUUCAGGAAACUGGGGCUAAUACCGGAUAGGAGCUCCUGCUGCAUGGUGGGGGUUGGAAAGUUUCGGCGGUUGGGGAUGGACCCGCGGCUUAUCAGCUUGUUGGUGGGGUAGUGGCUUACCAAGGCUUUGACGGGUAGCCGGCCUGGGAGGGUGACCGGCCACAUGGGGACUGAGAUACGGCCCAGACUCCUACGGGAGGCAGCAGUGGGGAAUAUUGCACAAUGGGCGGAAGCCUGAUGCAGCAACGCCGCGUGCGGGAUGACGGCCUUCGGGUUGUAAAACGCUUUCGCCUGUGACGAAGCGUGAGUGACGGUAAUGGGUAAAGAAGCACCGGCUAACUACGUG